GACAGACGCAGAUUAAUCAAAAUCCAAAAUCCAAAAUCUGUGCUCUGUGUUCAAAAUCAUAUGGUUGUCAAUUUUUUAAUGCCGAAUUUUGCUUGUAAUGAUUUCAUUUUUUAAUUAUAUUACAAAUUCUUCAAUUUUUCAUGGAGUGUUUAUUUAUUUAAACACCAUACAGGCGUACCUUUGUGAUUCGGUAAAGGUUUUACGCGAACCUGAUCAGUUGACAGUAGGUGCUUUAGAGUUUGACGACUUCCAGCUAAAGUUGUUAAAAAUAUUCUUUGCUUUUUUGAUACUUAAUUUGUUCUUGAUAUUUGUUGCGUGGAAAUACUACGGAAGGGAUAUUCACGAAAGAUUUAUUAAGCCAACAAGUAAUAGGGAAAUAGAAGAACUCAGAGCCAGUGUUUCAAAGCUUAAGCUCCCUAAGGAGCACACUCCGAGAAUAUAAAGCUUUAACAAUGACAGAGAAAAUAUCAGACAAGGUAAAAAAAUUCUUCCAAAAGAAGAAAGCCGAUGCAAAAUUUAAAAUGGCAGGACCUGGACAUAAAUUAACUGAAUCGUCAUCUACUGCUGUUUCAUCAAGUAAGAAGCCAGGUUAUGUUCCACCACAAAGAUCAGGACCAUCUGAUGUAAACAGGCAAGCUGCAGAAGCUGCACUUGCACGAUUGACUACUCAAUCAAAAAGCACCCCAUUUAAUACUUCAUUAGCUGCAAUACAAGCAAAGGUUAAACGAGAACUAGAAGCUGAAAGGAAAAAUAAUGCCGAAUUUAAUGAAAUACCUCUAGGUCCUAAACAAAUUGACCUAGAAACAUCUUCUCAUUUAGCAGUUAAAGGCGUCUAUUUCAAGUGCCCAUUAGUAAGUGAUGAAAUUUUAUCUAAAGAAGAAUGGAAAGUAAAGAUAAAAGAAUUUUUGUUCGCAGCUCUAGAAGAAGAGAGAGGUAUAACAGCUUGCCUAAUUUUGUAUUCCUGUAAUUAUAAUAGAUCAAAGGUUACAGAGUGCGUGAAUAUACUAUGUAGGUACAUAGACAACAUCAUAGGGAAUCCCACAGAAACUAAAUUCCAUAAGAUCAGGUGUUCUAAUGCCACAUUUGUAGAAAAGGUCACACCAUUAUUGGGAGCCAUCGAAUUCUUAUAUGCAGCUGGAUUUCGGCAGCAAAAGUUAGAUCAUAACGGUGUUGAAGAAGACUUUUGGGUUUGGUCUGAAGAAAAUAUUGAUGGUUUACAGACACUAGAGUUUUUGAGAGAUGCCUUAAAAUCCGAAAACAGAGUCGAACUGGAAUUAGACAGAAAUGUACAGAUUCUUUCCCCAGCCCAGGCAUCUGUAAAAAUUGAUCUACCCAAAGAUUUUUAUGCAAUAUCGCCAGACGAACUUAAAAGAGAACAGCAGUCGAGAUCUGAAAUAGCAGAAAAACAAUUGCAAUUAAGAACUAAAGCUAUGAGAGAAAAAGAUGAACUGAGAGAGAUAAGGAAAUAUAAAUUUUCUCUUAUAAGAGUGAGGUUUCCUGAUGGAAUAUACUUACAGUGGGUUCAUGCUUCCGACAGAGAAGAACAAUCGUAGAGAAGCGACAAAAACCGUCGGCACUAUUGAAGUAGGGGGGACCAAGUUUUGUGACCUUCAAAUUGACGUACAUGAGAGAUAGCAUGUUAUAGCUACACCGAGAGAAAUUCAAUGAAGGCAAAAGAAAUAAGAAAAGCUGUACACUGAAAAAAACAUGUGUUCGGGAACUUUUUCAGUGUACGAAAAAUUUAUAGAUAUACUAGAAUUCGUCAGAGACAGUUUAGAGCAUGACGGCCUGCCCUUCGUUCUUACAGCACCAACAGGCUUAAGGUUUGAAGAUAAGGAUUACGACAGUAC
rnacentral:misc_RNA from 1 species